UUGAAUAGCAGAAAUUUUUCCAGCCAUCAAAUUUCUUUUUCUUUAGAAAUUUUGAAGUUUCUGACAUACUCUUUGUAAGAAUUUCAAAAUUCUCAUCAGUGGAACAUUGACAGUAUGUAAUUUCAGCAUAUUUUCUUCUCUUUACUGCCUCAGUACAUUCGUUAUCCCACCAAGGAGGAGAAGGAAUAAAACCCAAAGAGCUAUUUUUACUUGGAAAUAUCUCAUUGGCAACCUCAAUAAAGAUUUUUGCUAAAGAAUCUGCACACUGAGAUUCUGUAUCUGGAUUAAUUUUUGGAAGUGUUGGAAAUGAUAAUAAUAGUGGGAAGUGAUCACUACCAAAAGUAGAUCGUAAUGGAUCCCAGGACAAAGAAGAAGCAAGAUUAGGUGUAGUGACUGUUAAAUCUGGAGCACUUGGGCCCUCGUCAGGAUGAGAACGUCGUGUAGGACGACCAUCAUUUAAUAUACACAAAUUCACUGAAUCAAAUAUAUCUAUUAAUGUGUUACCAUAACUAUUAGAAGAUAAGUAACCCCAGGAUUCAUGGCGACAGUUAAAAUCACCAAGGAUCAUAAAAGGCUUCGGAAGAAUGGAAAUAAUAUCUUUAAUUUCAUUUAAGAUUGCAGAAGAAGGAUGAGGUAUAUAAAUAGAUACAUAACAGAUAUUUUCAACUAAAGCAGCAAUAAUAGAAAAAUCAUUACUGUGAGAAGGAAUAGAGAAGAGAGAAAAGGAAAGAGGGUGUUUCACAAGCAUGGCUACUCCGCCAUGCCCAUCCACACGAUCUUCUCUGAGACAUGAAUAACCACGAAUCUUAAAUAAAGAUCCUGGUUUCAACCAUGUCUCUUGAAGAGCACAGAUAUAAGGUUUAUAUUUAUUUAAUAAAUAAAUAAGAUCACUUUUUUUAGGAGUGAUGCUUUGACAAUUCCAUUGAAGAA